rnacentral:lncRNA from 1 species
AGAAACAGCGGUUUCUUGACGAAAUCUCCACCAAAAAUUUGAGAGAUUUGAGGAGGGAAUUGACAGUAAUAUCUUAGUUUAUAUGACAGAGAAAAUAUAGUAUCAAGAUCAAACAAACAGUGUUAUGCGGCUGAAAUUCUGCAAUGUAUCUUUCGUUGUAGAGAUGAAAACUUUGUGACGAAAAGUUUAUGCAGCAAUAUAGGAACAAAAUUUUUUUUUUUUUUGGAUUUUCGGAUAGGGAUAACUAAAUUGCAGCAGCAGUAAGGUAGGAAACCAGAACCUGUUGCAAUUCAC